GGGGUUGUAGCUCAGCAGUAGAGCGCUUGCCUUGCAUGCGUGAGGCCCUAGGUUAGAUCCUCAGCACCA
rnacentral:tRNA from 1 species